rnacentral:rRNA from 1 species
AGACUGGGAUAACUCCSGGAAACCGGGGCUAAUACCGGAUGCUUGUUUGAACCSCAUGGKUCAAACAUAAAAGGUGGCUUCGGCUACCACUUACAGAUGGACCCGCGGCGCAUUAGCUAGUUGGUGAGGUAAUGGCUCACCAAGGCRACGAUGCGUAGCCGACCUGAGAGGGKGAUCGGCCACACUGGGACUGAGACACGGCCCAGACUCCUACGGGAGGCAGCAGUAGGGAAUCUUCCGCAAUGGACGAAAGUCUGACGGAGCAACGCCGCGUGAGUGAUGAAGGUUKUCGGAUCGUAAAGCUCUGUUGUUAGGGAAGAACAAGUACCGUUCGAAUAGGGCGGUACCUUGAYGGUACCUAACCAGAAAGCCACGGCUAACUACGUGCCAGCAGCCGCGGUAAUACGUAGGUGGSAAGCGUUGKCCGGAAUUAUUGGGCGUAAAGGGCUCGCASGCGGUUUCUUAAGUCUGAUGUGAAAGCCCCCGGCUCAACCGGGGAGGGUCAUUGGAAACUGGGGAACUUGAGUGCAGAAGAGGAGAGUGGARUUCCACGUGUAGCGGUGAAAUGCGUWGAGAUGUGGAGGAACACCAGUGGCGAAGGCGACUCUCUGGUCUGUAACUGACGCUGAGGAGCGAAAGCGUGGGGAGCGAACRGGAUUAGAUACCCUGGYAGYYSCACGCCGUMAACGAUGAGUGCUAAGUGUUAGGGG